rnacentral:rRNA from 1 species
GUAGGUGGCAAGCGUUGCCCGGAAUUAUUGGGCGUAAAGCGCGCGCAGGUGGUUCUUUAAGUCUGAUGUGAAAGCCCCCGGGCUCAACCGGGGAGGGUCAUUGGAAACUGGGGAACUUGAGUGCAGGAGAGGAAAGUGGAAUUCCACGUGUAGCGGUGAAAUGCGUAGAUAUGUGGAGGAACACCAGUGGCGAAGGCGACUUUCUGGCCUGUAACUGACACUGAGGCGCGAAAGCGUGGGGAGCAAACAGGAUUAGAUACCCUGGUAGUCCACGCCGUAAACAAUGAGUGCUAAGUGUUGGGGGGUUUCCGCCCCUCAGUGCUGCAGCUAACGCAUUAAGCACUCCGCCUGGGGAGUACGGUCGCAAAGACUG